UACAGAGGUCUCAAGCGUUGUUCGGAUUCAUUGGGCGUAAAGGGUGCGUAGGUGGCGCGGUAAGUCAGGUGUGAAAUUUCGGAGCUUAACUCCGAAACUGCAUUCGAUACUGCCGUGCUUGAGGACUGGAGAGGAGACUGGAAUUUACGGUGUAGCAGUGAAAUGCGUAGAUAUCGUAAGGAAGACCAGUGGCGAAGGCGGGUCUCUGGACAGUUCCUGACACUGAGGCACGAAGGCCAGGGGAGCAAACGGG
rnacentral:rRNA from 1 species